GCAUCAGAGGGUGGCUGAGGGGCUGCCGUGGGUGCUGCUCGUAUAGACAGAACCCCCCCUGUUCACCAGCAUUUGAGCUGCCCCCUCUUCUCCCACCAGAUGGAACAGUGCUGCCUAAUUGGUCAACUCUGCUGGAGGAGAACCUGAGAGGUGAUGCGGGAUUGGUUUGUGUGGAGCCCCGGGCCCUGGGGAGGGGCCGGAAGUCAGCCCUGUCCUGCAGCCAGAAGGUGGAGCAGGUGGGAACGGAGCCCCUCUCUUCGCAGACACUUCACAGAAGGUGAGGGAAGCGUGCCGUCAGGGGGCGCUCACCUUCAGCACAGGAGGCAGAGAAGGGCUUUCAACACUCAGCCUCACAGAUACUCACAUUGUCUCAGAAAAUGCGAGUAUUUUUCUUCUUUUUUUUUCUCUCCCCUUUUGUCUGCUGUCAGAUGCUCAGGGAACAGCGCCGGGAGAGAGAAAGGGCUGACAUGCAGGGAAAACUCAUUUUGGAGGCCUCAGUUGGCUCAGUGCCCUCCAGCCGGAGCUGGGUCCCCAUCAGAGAGCGUCCAGUGGCUUUCAGGGACCCUCAGGGAGAUCCAUGGAUGAGAACCAAGGAAGAAUGAAGCGGGCAUGCGUGGGAGCCAGGAGCCGCUCUGAGCCUCGGGGAAGAGAAGCCUUGAGCAGGGACGUCAGGAGACCAAGAAAGUCCUACAAUUCUGAGCAGCCUGCGGAUCUCUGAGGCACUGAGCCAGCAGCCAUCAUCCUUCUCUCUCCGUCUAAAUUGUUUCAGCACCACACACCCUAAGGCGCGGGGAGGGGCAUGGAGCUGGGCAGCGACUUCCUUUGAGCAGGCCCAGUUGAGUCCCUGGUCCUGGCCUGUGUGCCCCCUGCCUGCAGCCCUGAGCCAGGAAGUAGGUGGAGUUGGGUGGCACUUCCUGGCGUGAAAGCCAGGAAGUUCAAGCGUCUUUUCCCAAUUGGCCAGUUUUGAGCGGAGGAGGAUUAGCUGUGGGAUGCUGGGCAAGUCACUUAACCUCUGUGAGCCUUACUUUCUUCAUCUGGGAAAUGAGCUGACAGCUGCCUCCUCGGCUGGUGUGAGCCCUGAGUGAUGACACAUGUGGGGGCCAGGUGCUGUGCCUGGCCCUCAGCAGGUGCUCCCAUGGUGAGCCUCAUCCCCACCGUGGAGAGCUCGGCACUGACAGUUCUCCCCGAAGCCAGCCCCUGCGUCAUUCUGCUUUCAAUGUUCCCACAUCUGCCCCCUUUCCCCCAUUGGGACAGUCAAGGCAUUGGGCACAUGGCCACCAAGGCCCUUUGCAGCUUGGACAGUGGGGGCCCCUUACUCCUUUCCUGAGCCACAGCCUCAUGCCCGACUCUAACCACUGCACCCCCAGCCCCGUGAGCCUGUCAGCUGCGUUCAGGAGACCCUGAGCCUCCCUACUGACCCAGAGCUGCAGGAGAACAGACCCACCACCGACUGCAGACCUCCUGUGUCCGGGCCCUGGGCUCGCAGAGAACAGAUGCGCCCUGUUCCCUCUGAGGUUGUGUCAGCAGGAGGGAAGCAGGCACCGCGAGGAGGGACCCUGGACACGCCAGGCCGGCCCUGGGAGCAGGAGACCCAGGAAUAGACACGGCAGGACCGUGGCGCCCUUUGGAAAAAGGAUGUUUCCUGCCAGAUCGUCCCCUGAAGAUGCGUUUGUCACCAGCUGUCGUGUAAAUCCAUGUUUGGCCUGUUUUAAAAGAUGUGAUUUAUCCACAUGACUGGC
ensembl:lncRNA